rnacentral:ncRNA from 1 species
UCAAAGUUUGAUUCUUUCUUUAAUUCUUAUAAUAUUAUUGAAAUUGUAUGAAAAUUGUUGUAUGUAGUGAUUAGUGUUUGAUACUUUAAGUCAUGUAAGAGUUUAUUACUAUAACAUUAUGAAUUCUCAGCAUAGAAAAUUAAAUAAUUUACAAAUGUAGGAUUUAGCAAUUAAUUGAAAUCUGAUUAAAUAUUGUGCCAGCAGUCGCGGUUAGACUUUAAGGUUAAGUAAGUAGAUAUUGGGAUUAAGUUAUACGAUAGAGGUAAAAACAGAGAUUGAGAGAAUAAAAGGUGAAAUUAAGUUAUUCUUAUUAAUUACAUUAAUUACUUGAGUUGAAGCUGAGGAUUAUUAGAGAUAAACUAGGAUUAGAUACCCUAUUAUACUAAUAAAUAUUAAUAAACCUGAAUUAUUAAUAGAUAUUGUCUUUAAACUUGAAGAAUUUGGCGGUGAUUUAAUCUUGUUAGAGGAAUCUGUUUUUGAAUCGAUACACCACGUUAAAUUUCACUCAUUUUAUUUGGUCUAUAUACCGUCAUUAACAGAUAAUUUUAAAAGAAAUUGAAUUAUUAAGGUUUAUUUAUAAAUAAAUUAAAUUAGAUCAAGGUGUAGCUUAUAAAUGAGUUAAAAUGGAUUACAAUAAAAUAUAUUUAUUACGGAAUAGAAGGGUAAGAGAGUUCUAUAAAGGAGGAUUUAAUUGUAAUUGAGGUUUAAUAAGCCUGUAAGACAUAAGCACUAAAUCAUGUACAUAUCGCCCGUCGCUCUCAUUAUAAAGAUGAGAUAAGUCGUAACAUAGUAGAUUUAUCGGAAGAUAAAUCUAGUUUGAA